GCAGUCGAACGAUGAUGUCCCGCUUGCGGGACGGAUUAGUGGCGAACGGGUGAGUAAUACGUGAUUAACCUGCCCUCGACUCUGGGAUAAGCCUGGGAAACCGGGUCUAAUACUGGAUACUACUGCUCACCGCAUGGUGGGUGGUGGAAAGGGUUUACUGGUUUUGGAUGGGCUCACGGCCUAUCAGCUUGUUGGUGGGGUAAUGGCUCACCAAGGCGACGACGGGUAGCCGGCCUGAGAGGGUGACCGGCCACACUGGGACUGAGACACGGCCCAGACUCCUACGGGAGGCAGCAGUGGGGAAUAUUGCACAAUGGGCGGAAGCCUGAUGCAGCGACGCCGCGUGAGGGAUGACGGCCUUCGGGUUGUAAACCUCUUUCAGUAGGGAAGAAGCGAAAGUGACGGUACCUGCAGAAGAAGCGCCGGCUAACUACGUGCCAGCAGCCGCGGUAAUACGUAGGGCGCAAGCGUUGUCCGGAAUUAUUGGGCGUAAAGAGCUCGUAGGCGGUCUGUCGCGUCUGCUGUGAAAGCCCGGGGCUCAACCCCGGGUCUGCAGUGGGUACGGGCAGACUAGAGUGCAGU
rnacentral:rRNA from 1 species